rnacentral:tRNA from 1 species
GGAUUGUGGCUCAAUGGUAGAGUGCUUGCCUUGCAUGCGUGAGGCACUAGGGUCAAUCCUCAGCACCA